rnacentral:misc_RNA from 1 species
GGUUUUCCCUCAUGCAAGCAGAACGCGCGACGUUCAUCUUCCUCAGAGCCAUCCCUAGAUGUGGAUCCCAGUAGCAAUGGUAAACAGCUGUUAGAUGAAACAGGGGGGAGUUUAUCGAAGUCGUGUGGUUCCAGGUUUGGCAGUAGUUCGGAGCUAGAAUCGAGGGGCCACCUGAAUAACAGCAACACAGCGGCCAACAAUCAGCACGCAAAAUGGCUGUAAAAAUGGAAGUUCCCAAGAGAUUACAAUCCAAUUACCUUUGCACGGAGAGUAGCCUGAACCACGCAUUAACUCCUCUUUGUGCCCCCUGCCAAAAGAAACCAUAGCCCACGGUUGCACUCAGUCGACCAAAUUUGCAGCUUUCGGUGACCCUCUGGCAGCAUUUGUUUCUCAUGAUUUUCUCGAGAAUCCAGAUUUGUGUCCCUCUCCCAUCGAUUUAGAGUCUUUGGAAUUAUUUGAAUCUGUUUCUAAGCCAAUAGAAAAUGCUUUAGCCAUUUUACCUUCAAGGCCGCAUAUUAAUCUAAGUCUAAUCCUCUAACCUUUUUCUUUGGUGUCUCCCCAACCCCACUUCCCUCCUUUACAGGUCAAAGAAGGUGGGUCCACGGAUGAUGGACCUUCUGGUUGUGAUAAUUCCCUAGCUGUCAUCCCUUUAGAGAACCAAGGCACAACUCUUCCCUGUCCCUCCCUUCUCCCCAGCAAAAUCAAAAUCUAAGGACUUUUUAAGCAAAGAAGGAAGACUAGAACUCGUUCCUUAACAGAUCUUUUUGAUGCAUCACCAAAAUUAUGCCGUGAAGAAAAAAUAAAGAAACUGGCCAAAGGCAAGAAAAUUGUGAAACCCACCGAUAGUGACAUAGGUAGGAUGAACAUGCGCCACUCGAAGCCUAAAUCCCCAGUUACUACAAAGGUUGCCUUACUUGAUGGAAAGGAGGGGACGUUGCAGACUUUGAUGAUAGGCAAGCAUCUUGGGUUGACCUUUUCUGAGGAUGACUCUACAAAAAUUGAAAUUUUUAUGAACCAGAUUGAAGCAGACAGGGUAAUGUUCAACAAUGCUGAGUGUUGACACAUUUGUUUCUUUCCUAAAGUGUCCGAUUGAAUCAAAUUUCAUGUUGGUUAUUGUACUUGGGAUGAUUUUUUAAGUUGGAUUUUUAGCCUCAGAGUCUUCACAGUAUGGUCUAUUAUAGUUGGGUGGCUAUCUAUACGAUUCGCUGGUUGGUCUCUUCGCACUAGAGGCUUCCAUUGUUUGGCUCGAUCGUUAAUCGUCCGUCUUGAUGUGUUGCAGAUUUGGCGCCAUGCUGCUGUGCUGUUGUGUGCAAAUGUUUGUGCUAGUUCUCCUUUUUGAGCUAAUCUUGUUAGUUUUGCGUCGUUUACGCAGUUUCAUUUGUUGUUUCUUGGUCUGGUUUGCGUCCUUUUGUCCCUUGUCUAUGGUUUGUUUCAGUCCUGUUUUGUGGUUAGGUUGUCCUUUUUGGCUUCUUGCCUUUAUCUAUUAAUAAAUUUCA